rnacentral:rRNA from 1 species
UACGUAGGUGGCAAGCGUUGUCCGGAUUUAUUGGGUUUAAAGGGUGCGUAGGCGGUCUUUUAAGUCAGUGGUGAAAUACUUCAGCUCAACUGGAGAGGUGCCAUUGAUACUGGGAGACUUGAGUACUGAUGAGGUAGGCGGAAUGGACGGUGUAGCGGUGAAAUGCUUAGAUAUCGUCCAGAACACCGAUAGCGAAGGCAGCUUUCUGAGGAGUAACUGACGCUGAGGCCCGAAAGUGUGGGGAUCAAACCGG